rnacentral:rRNA from 1 species
CCUACGGGCGGCAGCAGUGAGGAAUAUUGGUCAAUGGGCGGGAGCCUGAACCAGCCAAGUCGCGUGAGGGAAGACGGUCCUACGGAUUGUAAACCUCUUUUGCCGGGGAGCAACGGGGUCCUUGCGAGGGCCCCAUGAGAGUACCCGGAGAAAAAGCCUCGGCUAACUCCGUGCCAGCAGCCGCGGUAAUACGGAGGAUGCGAGCGUUAUCCGGAUUUAUUGGGUUUAAAGGGUGCGUAGGCGGAAUGCCAAGUCAGCGGUAAAAUCGCGGGGCUCAACCUCGCUCCGCCGUUGAAACUGGCGGUCUUGAGUGGGCGAGAGGUAGGCGGAAUGCGUGGUGUAGCGGUGAAAUGCAUAGAUAUCACGCAGAACUCCGAUUGCGAAGGCAGCAUACCGGCGCCCAACUGACGCUGAAGCACGAAAGCGUGGGUAUCGAACAGGAUUAGAUACCCUAGUAGUC